GACAGAGGGUGCAAACGUUGUUCGGAAUUACUGGGCGUAAAGCGCGUGUAGGCGGUCAUGUAAGUCGGGUGUGAAAGCCCCGGGCUCAACCUGGGAAUUGCAUUCGAGACUGCAUGGCUAGGAUGCGGAAGAGGGAAGCGGAAUUUCCGGUGUAGCGGUGAAAUGCGUAGAUAUCGGAAGGAACACCAGUGGCGAAAGCGGCUUCCUGGUCCAGCAUCGACGUUCAGGCACGAAAGCGUGGGGAGCAAACAGG
rnacentral:rRNA from 1 species